rnacentral:lncRNA from 1 species
UUGUUGACAAUGACAGUUUGUUGGUGUAAGUUGAUUAAGAAUUUUGUAAGUUUUCGGUGUUUUUUAAGUAAUUUGUUACUAUGUAUUUUAUUAAGGAUGUUAUUUUCCGAAGUUUUACUUAUGGUACAUCUUUUUUAAUAGAAAAUUAGUGGAAGGAAUUACGCUACGGAUGAAUGCAGAGAACGGUGUGGAACUUUUUACCGAUUUCCAAACCCAAAACUAUCCACAAAUAUUUCAAAGGUCAAUUGAACUAAGUGGAUGGGAAGAAUUGUGGCAACAUGAAGACAGAAUUUACAGAAAUGUUCAUGGUGGAAAGCAUUUCUCUAAGGAACAUGUUGGAUGGAAUAGUAAUAAGGAAUAAUAGUAUGUUCUAGUUUUGCCGAUGGUAUGAUAAGAGAUUAUGAGUUUAUAUAUAUAUUUUAUAUAUUAUAAACAUUAUACAUAGGUCUGUACCUACAGGCUUAUACAUGCAUGUUAUAUAUUAUAUAUAAUGAAAUAAAUGUUAUAAUAUAAUAAUAUACCAUAAUUAUAAUACUUAUUAUACUUAUAACUUUUUAUUUAUUUAAUUUCUGUGUUAGUUAAAAUACCAUAGUAACAUAUUGUAAGCAAUUUUGUUGGAUCUUUAUAUAUACAGCAAUUAACCUUUGUGUAACAUCAAAUCAAUGUUAAAAUUUUAAUAUGACUGUUGUAACAAUUGUACUUAUACAUUAAAUUUUUAUUUUAUGAACGUUUUAGGAUGAACCGAUAGUCAGAAUGUGAUAAAGGUUUCAAAUUGGAAACGAAUUAGGAAAAAUAACAAAAAAAUAAAAUAAGAGUAUUGAAUACUGUUAAUACUAAUAAUAAACGUCUUUAUUCAACAUAAAUUAUAAUGCAAAAUAGAACAUAAAGUGUCUAUUCCAAAUUACAGUGCACAUAUCUGAAUUAAUGUGAAUUUUUCUGAUAUUGUUAACAUUUCCAACUAUUGUAAUUGUAAAUUUCAAUUAUUUUAUUUAUUAUUAUUUCUGUUUAAAACUUUAUAACUAGAAAACUUUUUCUUUAUUAUCUAAGAUUGAUUUAUUGUCUAAGUUUUAAGUUUUUUACUGUUCAAAACUGUACUUUUGUUUUACAACAUUCAAUAUUUAAAUAAAAUUUUUAAGUAUA